GGAAGCCCCGCUGGAACCCUGAGGUCCGCGUUGUAGCAGGCAUCGGGACUCGGCUCUGUCAUCAACUGCUCGGGAGCCUCCUGACGCCCCAGGCCCAGCCACAGGGAAGGCAGAGGAGCGGCUGGACAAGCAGGAGAGGGAAGCAGUGAGCGUGCAGGUGAAGCGCAUCGGGGUUUCCUCCUGCCAUCGGGAACUAGCAACUGGCAGAGGCUGAGAAAGGACAGAAGCAGGGAACCAGGACGAGGCUGACCCCACCGUGCCGCCCAGGGCCUGUUUGGAGGACGGCUGUAACGAUGGGCUUGCAGAAGCCUCCAGGACAGCCGGCUCACGAGAGGCUGCAGACGGUCAUUCUGAUCUUGCUGAUGCAACUUGGCCGACCCCAGGAACCCGAGAGGGUGGCGUGGCUGGCCAAGCACUGUGCACCAGUGCCCGCC